rnacentral:rRNA from 1 species
UACGGAGGGUGCGAGCGUUGUCCGGAAUCACUGGGCGUAAAGGGCGCGUAGGCGGCCUGGUAAGUAGGGGGUGAAAUCCUGCGGCUUAACCGCAGGGCUGCCUUCUAAACUGUCAGGCUCGAGCACGGUAGAGGCAGAUGGAAUUCCCGGUGUAGCGGUGGAAUGCGUAGAUAUCGGAAGGAACAUCAGUGGCGAAAGCGACUUCCUGGACCAAUACUGACGCUCAUGUGCGAAAGCGUGGGGAGCAAACAGG